GACGAACGCUGGCGGCGUGCCUAAUACAUGCAAGUUGAGCGCUGAAGGGUGGUACUUGUACCAACUGGAUGAGCAGCGAACGGGUGAGUAACGCGUGGGGAAUCUGCCUUUGAGCGGGGGACAACAUUUGGAAACGAAUGCUAAUACCGCAUAAAAACUUUAAACACAAGUUUUAAGUUUGAAAGAUGCAAUUGCAUCACUCAAAGAUGAUCCCGCGUUGUAUUAGCUAGUUGGUUAGGGAAAGGCUCACCAAGGCAAUGAUACAUAGCCGACCUGAGAGGGGGAGGAGCCACACUGGAACUGAGAGACGGUCCAGACUCCGACGGGAGGCAGCAGUAGGGAAUCUUCCGAAAUGGGCGAAAGCCUGACGGAGCAACGCCGAGUGAGUGAUGAUGGUCGUCGGAGCGUAAAACGCUGUUAUUAGGGAAGAACAAAUGUGUAAGUAACUAUGCACGUCUUGACGGUACCUAAGCAGAAAGCCACGGCUAACUACGUG
rnacentral:rRNA from 1 species